rnacentral:rRNA from 1 species
UACGAAGGGGGCUAGCGUUGCUCGGAAUCACUGGGCGUAAAGCGCACGUAGGCGGCUUUUUAAGUCAGGUGUGAAAUCCUGGAGCUCAACUCCAGAACUGCCUUUGAUACUGAGAAGCUUGAGUCCGGGAGAGGUGAGUGGAACUGCGAGUGUAGAGGUGAAAUUCGUAGAUAUUCGCAAGAACACCAGUGGCGAAGGCGGCUCACUGGCCCGAUACUGACGCUGAGGUGCGAAAGCGUGGGGAGCAAACAGG